rnacentral:rRNA from 1 species
UACGAGGGGGGCAAGCGUUGCUCGGAAUUAUUGGGCGUAAAGGGUGCGUAGGCGGUCUGAUAAGUCAUCUGUGAAAUCUAUGGGCUCAACCCAUAGUCUGCAGGCGAAACUGUCGGGCUUGAGUAUGGGAGAGGUGAGUGGAAUUUCCGGUGUAGCGGUGAAAUGCGUAGAUAUCGGAAGGAACACCUGUGGCGAAAGCGGCUCACUGGACCAUUACUGACGCUGAUGCACGAAAGCUAGGGGAGCAAACAGG